UACGGAGGGGGCUAGCGUUGUUCGGAAUCAUUGGGCGUAAAGGGCGCGUAGGCGGCCGAUCAAGUCGGAGGUGAAAUCCCUCGGCUCAACUGAGGAACUGCCUUCGAUACUGUUCGGCUUGAGUCCUGGAGAGGGUAGCGGAAUUCCCGGUGUAGCGGUGAAAUUCGUAGAUAUUCGGAAGAACACCAGUGGCGAAGGCGGCUCACUGGACACGUAUUGACGCUGAGGUACGAAAGCGUGGGGAGCAAACAGG
rnacentral:rRNA from 1 species